rnacentral:tRNA from 1 species
UGUGCCAUGGUGUAUGAGCACGAAAGUUUUUGGUACUUUAAGAGCUUGUUAUCUCAAGCUGGCGCAU